AGAAGCAACUGAAAGUAUCUAAAGGAGAUCAAUUGAUCAAACAAGAAGAGAGAGAAGUGGGGGAUACAGGGCUGAAGCCUUAUUAUGUUCAGUAUCUGAAUCAGAACAAAGGAUACUUGUACUUCUCCCUUGCAGCUCUUGGUCACCUUACGUUUGUGAUUGGACAGAUAUCACAGAAUUCUUGGAUGGCAGCUAAUGUUGACAAGCCUAACGUCAGUCCAUUAUGGUUGAUUGCGGUCUACUUGAUUAUUGGAGUUGCUUCAACAUUGUUUUUGCUGGGUAGAUCUCUUGCUACAGUCAUUUUGGGUCUUGAAUCAUCCAAGUCUCUAUUUUCACAGCUACUGAAUUCCCUUUUUCGUGCACCUAUGUCUUUUUAUGACUCCACAC
rnacentral:misc_RNA from 1 species